rnacentral:sRNA from 1 species
AGUUCUGGACAUAUUGCGUGUCGAAAGCGACGCGCGUGGCGUAGGAGACGUCGUUGC